GUUAUACGUAAAUCCUUAAUACAACAUGUUUACGUCGGAUGUUGAAAAGAGAAAUUCAGAUUUUUGCAGGUGUUACCUAACAUUUUCUAGUGGCAGCUGAGAGAUGUUUCUGGGGACCCCGGCAAUCGGUUUGCCGCUGUCUAUAAUACUGGAGAAUUCCUACACUGACGUAUUUGGCUCGCUGAUGUCCGUUUGUUACACGCUCCCUGGAAGAACUUCCCGACCAGCGAUUAUAUUCAUUUCUUUGGCCCAUGGUUUCUCCUUUUGAGCACGAGUGUUGCUCAUCCGUCCAAACCCGGAUGCCGAACGAGACAUCGUGUUUGGAGAGAUUAACAACGCUCGUCGCUACAUAACUUCUACCGAAACAGUCCUGAAGAACGCAAUACGAUAUCCGGCGCCACAAGCUGCACGGCAGAGUCUGUAUACAGAAAAAUUCAUGCUGAAUGUACGCACACUGCGUGGAGACAGUUGCAGACAUGUGCGAUGGGCCGGGAUAAGACAGCAGUCGGGCCUGCCAGACUGCCACUUGUUGCAUCCUGUCCUCAUCAUUGCUAAAAUCCGAGUCCGCACAUGAUCGACGAAAUGCCCACUGGAGGAACAUCCUUAAGAUUACGGUCAACGGGAUUACUUCUUCUCCUUGGCAUUGUUUACUUGUAACGCAGAGAGAUCAAAAGGAGAAGCUGAAGUUUCGAUCCGAAGUUUCCGGAAUAAUGGGCUAAUAUUACGUCCGGCCGCACUUUGGCUUUUCUUCUACGGUCUUCGCUGUCGUCCCCGGCUAAUUCCUGCACGUUGAUUCCUACGUGGUUUUCCAACUUGUUGUAACUCCUGCUGCCUCCCAAAGGUACAGUUGGAACUUGGGGCACAUCUUUUGUGGAAUGGAUACUUCAGCGUCCGGUGUGACAGCCGUUGCUGGGGCUCUAGCGGUGGCGUUGUGGCGCUAAACAAUAAGAUGGUCAACGUUACGGAAAUCAUAAUCGUAUUUUGCAAGACUAAUUAGUGCGUGGAUAAUUAGGGAACGUUACGAUUCUGAUCCCUUAACGUUCCCGGAUUACCCACGUACACAUCUGGAAAAACAAAUCUGAUCUUUCGCCCCUUUUAGUGGUAAGGAAAAUGAUAAAAAGGAUUACGAUAGCAGUACAUAAUGUACGUUUUUUACGAGUACUGCCAUUUAAGUGUUAAUGUUAAGUACUCUCACAAACGAAAAAAAGGGAUAGUCUCUAUAUUUACAAUUGUAUAUUUUAUGUCUCUAUAUAUACUUGUGCAUGUUGCCUCAGCGGCCGCAUAAUCGGCCACACGAACGAGCCUGUUUACUCUGCAUUAUUGUAUAUACGAAUUCACUACGGAUUGCGGUAUUAUCUUGUUUGCAUCCGCACCGAUCGUCAAUCGCGAGGAUGCCACCCUUUCAGCUGAGCACCAGCAUUUUCGAAUCCGAUUUCCGCGCGCUUUUCGACAAAGACUUGAAGCAGAUGCUGGGACAGCUGCUGCAAAAGAAUCCCAACGCAAGCGAGUUGUCAGGCGCGAUUUUCCCAAGAUACGUUUACAGUUGACUCAUAGUUUGACAUUUUGCAGCCCCGCUCAGUAUGCUUUACCGAUCAGUUCCUGACGUGUGGCGGCACCACGGAGGCCUGCGCGUUCGGCAACUUGGCGUCCAUCGGGAACAUUGUUGGAAAGGACAAUGAGGCUCACGUAGAAACUAUACCCGAAUUUCUAAAAAGAUAUUGUAUCAACAUUUUUCUUUCUGUGCGUUUCGGAUUAACCUGACUGCUCUUGCAGGUUCCCGCCGUUCCUCAGCGAUUAUCCAGCGAACGACGGGGGUUCUCUCGGCUUGACGCUUGACAGCGUUAGUAGAAGAUUGCAGGCAGCACCGGCUGCCUAAUGGUCAUGCUUUCUUUCCGGUUUAUAAAUGUUGUGCGAACCGCUGUCACUGCAGUUUUUGAAGAUUUUAGUCUUCAAACUCGGUACGGGAAAUUCAGUAAUACUAACGAAAUCUUUAUAUACUGUAGGUACCAUUAAGUCGGUACAAGCAAACGCAGCGUAGUCAUCAUUAUCGUUUAUAUUUAUACUCAUACGUACUGUAUCUGCGUCUGCAUGAACACGGACAAUCAUUUUAGCCGGAACACUCACUCACCUGGUGUUUGUUUAAAGACUGUAAGAAGAGACAACCACAGACAUUCGUCUCCAAAAGCAUUCCUGCUCUGGCAAAUGGCUACAAAGCACAAACUGCUGCGAAAAUAAUCUGCUUUCAGGAAACGAGCGACUACGAGAUCCAUCAUGCCGAUUACGAAGUUUUGCCCGGCAGUGGAAGCGGAAGUCAACUAGACGCACGCAAAGCAGCCACCGGCCGGCAUUUUCGUGAAGAGUGUGGCUACAAGCCUACAAUCAUUCGCAUCUGAAAAUUAUCGUUUGCCUUUCGACGAGGUUUAGAAGGAAUCAGGAACCCGAAGCCGCUGUCGCCACGCAAAAACUUGCUGUCUAGGGUGUGAUCUUUGCUUAGGUAUGUACCUGCAAGUACAAGGAACAUGUUGACAACGAGUAGCUGAUAGUUUAAUUAUGCCUCUAGAUUAUAUUAAGGCACUGUAAGGAUAGAAGCGGCUCACGCACAGCGACAAAAGUCUUUCAAGGAUUUCCAGCACUUUGCGCCGUGGUGCAGUGGCACUACCUACGCGCAUCUUACGACGUAGCCAUCUAUUUCUUUAUAUCCUGAUCAGUAACCAAUCAUUUAUCUAAAUUUCGUGCAGCUAUUGUAUAGGGACUCUGUAAUGUAUCAGUUGUUCUCCGCUCCUGCCUUUUUGUCAUUCUGCGCUUUUUCAAGGUAAACUAUCCCAUAACAGUUUAUCUACUGUUUUUAGAUUACCAA